rnacentral:rRNA from 1 species
UACGUAGGGUGCAAGCGUUGUCCGGAAUUAUUGGGCGUAAAGAGCUCGUAGGCGGUCUGUCGCGUCUGCUGUGAAAACUCGGGGCUUAACCCCGGGCCUGCAGUGGGUACGGGCAGACUAGAGUGCGGUAGGGGAGACUGGAAUUCCUGGUGUAGCGGUGAAAUGCGCAGAUAUCAGGAGGAACACCAGCGGCGAAGGCGGCGCUCUGGGCCGGUACUGACACUGAGGAGCGAAAGCGUGGGGAGCAAACAGG